UACGUAGGGGGCUAGCGUUGUCCGGAUUUAUUGGGCGUAAAGAGCGUGUAGGCGGCCAGGUAGGUCUGCUGUGAAAACUCGAGGCUCAACCUCGAGACGUCGGCGGAAACCAUCUGGCUAGAGUCCGGAAGAGGAGAGUGGAAUUCCUGGUGUAGCGGUGAAAUGCGCAGAUAUCAGGAAGAACACCCGCGGCGAAAGCGGCUCUCUGGAACGGUACUGACGCUGAGACGCGAAAGCGUGGGGAGCGAACAGG
rnacentral:rRNA from 1 species